CCUUACUAGAAGGUAACUUUAUCUGUCGCUUAUGUACUAAUAUGAUAAACACUUCCCCUCACGUUGUAAGUGAGUCAAAAGGAUUAAAAUCAUCUGAGGUGAUCUGAGAGUGAUAGUAAGGAUCCAAUGGCUGGGAAGACUCCAACAUGCACCCUAUCUGUUGGAUCCUCACUGUCACUCAUUGUCACUCACUGCCUCGAUGAACGUUAAUCUUGUUCUCCACAUGGUCAUCUUGUUCUCCAUUGGGCAAGGAUGACGUCAGGAUAACUUAUGGCCAUUACGAGCAAGUAAAAUUACAUGUGAACAUAAGGUCGAAGUGGAAGCAAGAAGGCGGGUUGUGUUUAAUGUUAACUUAAUUAUAUCCUAUUUUUAGUUUUAUUCCACUCAUAGAAGAUAAUCUGAGAUUUUCAUAUUAGUUGUUUAAUUUUUUAUUUUUGGUAAAUCACAUUAAUUUUUUUUUCUUUUUUUCUUGGUAAAUUACAUUAAUUGCUUUUGUUCCUCUAUGAGCGUUACUCUUGUUCUUCACAUGGUAAUCCUGUACUCCACUAGGUAAGGAUGACGCAAGGAUGAUGUACUGCCUUACGAGAAAGUAACUUUAUCUGUCGUUUGUGUACUAAUAUGAUUAACACUUCCCCUCACGUUGUAAGUGAGUCAAUAGGAUUCAAAUCAUCUGAGGUGAUUUGUAAGUGACAAUAACGAUCCAGUGGUUGGGAGGGCCUCGACAUGCACCCUAUCCGUUGGAUCCUCACUGUCACUCAUUGCCUCAAUGAGCAUUACUUUUGUUCUCCACAUGGUCAUCUUGUUCUCCAUUGCGCAAGGAUGACGUAAGGAUAAUUUAUGGCUAUUACAACCCCUGCACCAAUGCACAAAUCAAUGGGAGGCUGCACUGAAGUAUCUUCAACACAUAGGAUGGGGAUAACGCAAUCGUUUCGCAACCACCUAUGUCUAGGCGUAGACAUACACAAAUGGGUAACUUUAUUUUACUUACUUUUAAUUUUUUUUAUUAGAAUCAUUAAUUAGAAUCUUCCAUCAAUUGGAUCAAUAUGACCAACAAAGAGGUCCGCGGCUGAGUGUUGAGGUGUAAGUGAUUCUAAUUCACUCCCAAGUAAAUUAAUACAAUUUAAUUUGUCACA